rnacentral:tRNA from 1 species
AGAAAUUUAGGUUAACAAGACCAAGAGCCUUCAAAGCCCUCAGUAAGUAAAAAUUACUUAAUUUCUG